UCUCCGUUGGUGAACCAGCGGAGGGAUCAUUACCGAAGUUACCUUCAAAACCCACUGUGAACCUUACCUCUUGCCGCGUUGUCUCGGCGGGAGGCGGUGUGCGUCGCGCGCCCCAUCGGGCCGCGCCGCUCCCGGCCCCGCCGGCAGCGCCAAACUCUAAAUGCACAGCGGACUGUACGUUCUGAUUUACAAAAAAAACAAGUUAAAACUUUCAACAACGGAUCUCUUGGUUCUG
rnacentral:misc_RNA from 1 species